rnacentral:rRNA from 1 species
AACGAACGCUGGCGGCAUGCCUAACACAUGCAAGUCGAACGAUACCUUCGGGUCUAGUGGCGCACGGGUGCGUAACGCGUGGGAACCUGCCCUUAGGUUCGGAAUAACUCCCCGAAAGGGGUGCUAAUACCGGAUAAUGUCUUCGGACCAAAGAUUUAUCGCCUUUGGAUGGGCCCGCGUUGGAUUAGCUAGUUGGUAGGGUAAAAGCCUACCAAGGCGACGAUCCAUAGCUGGUCUGAGAGGAUGAUCAGCCACACUGGGACUGAGACACGGCCCAGACUCCUACGGGAGGGAGCAGUGGGGAAUAUUGGACAAUGGGCGAAAGCCUGAUCCAGCAAUGCCGCGUGAGUGAUGAAGGCCUUAGGGUUGUAAAGCUCUUUUACCCGGGAUGAUAAUGACAGUACCGGGAGAAUAAGCUCCGGCUAACUCCGUG